UAAAGGGUUAGAAAAUUUUAAUUAUUUAAAAUAAUGUAUUUAACAAUUUUUUUUUUUUAAAUGACUACUGCAACUGGUUAACAUUUGUCAGAGUUAUUGUCAAAACGGUUUCAAUAGAGAAUGCAAUUUCAAUAUCAUCAGUUUUAAGAAUUCCAUUCUCUUCUUGAAUAUAAUUUUUUGGCAAUAUUCAUUGGAGAGUGAAUAAAUAAAGUGCAUUCAACAACUUACGUGAUAAUUCCACUUCAACAUUGACUCGGGUAGCGGCAUUUGCACGUCGAGUGAAAACACUUUUAACAUUUUUUAAUAGCCUCGCAGUCUCCGUCAAUCUGGAAGCCGUGCAUUGUGAUACGAUUGAAAAAUUUUGUGCAUAAAUAAUCAUUUGUAAAUAAUAAAUGAUGUCAUCUUCAUUGUUGAUCCAAUAUUCAUCAAAUAAAUAUAGAUUAAAAUAAUUCUAUACAUUUGCAAAAUUAUCAGCGCAAUGUCAACAAGAACGUGCAGUUAUCUAAUUAUGAUUCAUUGAGCAUAGACAUGCAAAAAUACAUUUCGUUGUGGUCAUACAAAAAAAGUUAAAAAUACAGGUCAUGCAUCGUAAUCUAGAGUAGUCAUCAAUUAUGAAUAUAAUCUACUUGAACAUUUAUUUGAACUAAUAAAAGGUGUAAUUAAAGUUAAUUUUACAUCUACUUUAACAAGUACUUACACCUCGCGAGAUCAGCAAUCGCAUGCACAGGCCUGUACGUAUAACCACUUUUCAGAGUACCAAAGAAUAAAAAAUGAUUAAAAAAAUGUUGUUACUAAUCAACCUAAAAUAUUUCAACUAUCUAUGAUUCUCAAAUUUUUUCAAUUUGAUUUUUUCUUGUUAAUUAAAUAUUUAAAAUUUUGUUUCAAAAAUAUUAUGAUUAGUAAACAAAUUUUUAGAUUAAAAUGAUUGAGCUUGCGAUAUUAAUUCAAUUGACUGGACAUAAAUAAACAGAAAAAAAACUGAAUCAUAGAAAGCAAAAUAUCAUUAAGGGUAUAGUCUAGCUAGUCACUUUCGAAAAUUCGAUUUUUUUUACAUUUUUUGAAUGUAUUUGUAUCUGAGGAUUCCCGGAGAUAUGUUAACGGUUUUGGGCAACGGCUCGCAGACCAAAUUUUGAUAAGAUUUUUUAUUUAAAAAAACUCAAAACUACGUUUUCACGGACGGCCAACACGAUUUCUCCGGAACACUUGGGCCGAUUCUUUCGAAAUUUUAGCCACAUAUUUUACACAUAAAUACUCACAAAAUAGAUUAUCAUAUUAAAAUAUUGAUUUUUACUAUUUUGUUUUACAAAUAACAGCGAAAAAAAAAAACAAUUUGUUCAUUUUUUUUGGUUUUUGUUACUUAAAAUUAACAACAAUUGUUCAAAAUUAAUAUAGAUAGUCUAUUUUGUAGCCAUUUUUAUACCGAAUCUAAAAAACUUCGUUUUUUUUUGUUUAGGAUAAGUCGUCGCCGAGAUAUCGUGUAGGAGCCGACUUGCCUCCAAAUUAUGACCUUCCUUUUGAGUACGAAUUUUGUGUAGAAAAAAUUGAAAAAAAAUUUUCUUUUUGUAAUUUAAGACUGCAUUUACCAUCUCUAAUAACUUUUAUAAACAUAUUUUUCACAGCAAGAUCACGAGAAAUCCCCAAAAAUAGCCUAUUUUUAUGGCCGACGAACUAGACUAUGUCCUUAAAGAAAAGAAUAAAUUAAUUAAAUAAAAAAUAAAUAGACUGUACUAAGCAAUAACGUAUUAAACUAACUUUUACUGAACAAAUUUUUCAAUACUGCCAAUUAAAUUUUGUUUUAAAUGGUGAUUAAAACGUUAUUGCUUAUUAUUAACCAAAUAGUUAUAAAUUUUCAGUAAAGUGCAUAAUAAAAAAUUAAAGUGCCAACUAAACUAUUAAUAAAAUUAUAAUACAAUGUAAAUUUGGAAAAAUAAUAAAUAUAUUCAAUAUUAUUGUCAAUUGUAAAUUGAAAUCAUAUUAUAUAUUACAUGUUUUAUUUUAAUUUAUAUUUGGUAAAUAAAUGAGUAGUAAUGAAGACUAAAAAUACCUCAUUUUACUCAAAUUUAUCUUAUUAUAUAAUUGACAAGUCUAAUAUUAUAAUUAUGUACCAAA
rnacentral:lncRNA from 1 species